GUGAUGGUUACUCGCAAUCGGAGAUGAUGGCGCGAAUCUUGGGUUGAAUGAAUUAUCUUAUAUGGCGCGAGAUUUCAGGCUAGCUGGCGAUCGGUUGAGAUUGAGAGGAUUCAAAUAUUGACAGCCGUUAUGGCGGAGACAGCGAGAUUUGAUCCCAAAUAUGGAGGAUUUGGAGCUCCCUUCUUUAUGUAGACGUUCCGAUUUGGAGACUGGCUUGACUAUUGGUGGAGUCAGGGUCGGUCUUAGCUUUUAACUGAGUCCUCCUUGGCCCCGAGGUCAAUCAAGCUUUGCUUAGCCGAGACUAUGCUUGCCGAGGACGUGCCUGCCGAGGUCGUGCCUUCUGAGCUCGGCCUUCUAGGGGAGGCCUUCUGAGCUCGGCCUUCUGGAGGAGGCCUUCUGAGGGCAGCCUUCUGAGGUCGGCCUUCUGUGCUCUGCCUUCUGAGGUCAUGCCUACCGAGACCAGGCUUGCUGUCGGAUUCGGAUGCUUUAACCAUAUAUGUUGGGUGAUCCACUUUUCCCCCCAACAGAUCCCACUUCUCGAGGUUGUUUCUUAUCUCACCCUAUUAAUGAGAAAAUCAAUUAGGUAUAUUGUAUAAAUUACAAAAGAUGUGCUCCCCUUGGACUAAAAUAACCUGGAUUACACUCUCUGUU
rnacentral:lncRNA from 1 species